CUUCUCUAGCCCUCUUCCUAGGCAGAAGCAUUUCUUCACUGUCUCCUGGACUGGCUUCAUUAGGUGUGUUUUCAGAGUUUUUAAAAUCUGUCUGCAGUUGACAAUUUUCAUUUUGACUGUUCCGAGAUGAACUUUCUGCCUUCGUGCUUUGAACAUCACCUUUUAUUGAUACGUCACUGAUGAUAAAAUCCUGCAAAGCCAGUUUUACAGUUGCAGGUUCUUUUUGUAACACCGAAGAAUCUUUGCCACAAGACUCAAGGCUCUCAUCCGGAAGUUUUAACUCCUCUGCUUCUUUCCUUUUACCUCUUCUGGGUCUUUGAGUAGCAACAGGCAUUCCCAAAGUUGAAACAGUUUCAACUUUUUUCUCAUCAUUAUGUUUCGAAAUGUUUUCUUCUACCACACAACCAUUUGUUCUCCUUCCUCUUCCUAGAUUUUUAGCUACUGAACUUGAAGUUCUGACCUCUCCUGUCUCUUCUUGGAAGCUCUUUUUCUCCAGUCCUUGCAAUUCUUGUAAAUUUAAAUCCUUUUCAGUCUGCUUUAUUGAAGCAGGAUGUACAGCCUUCCUCAAUCUGCCCCUGGUUGGUCUCUGGGUAGAUUGGUCUUCACUAGUUGACUCCCUCUGUUGAGAAUCUUCACCUUCUGAAGUAUUUUGUUUGCCUUCUAAAACAGUUUUUUCAACCCAUACAAAGUUUUCACAUAGAAAAGAGCACAAGCAAAAGUUAAUCAGUACUAUGCCUGAUAAAAGCAUUUGUGAGCUUUUCUAGCAGAGUGGUCUUGUAUAUUUCAUAUUCUUAAUUAAAAAAUAGGAAAGUGUGGUGAUAAUUUUAACAGAUUCUAGCCAGCUUGCUGCACCAAGUUGUUUAAUUUGAUAGUGAUAGCCUUCACAGCCUUCAGAUGAGUUAUUGAAAGUCUUUGCUAAGAAAGGUGAUUUUAAAUGGUGUUCAUUAGUGUUUUUUAUACACUGGUAUGUUUGGAGAUGACACCAUUACUACAUCAGAACAUUAUACACCUCUCCACCAAUAGAAUUUCAGCUCCAGUGAAAUUCAGCACCAGGAAUUACUGCACACAUUUCACAAGCUACUUGCUCUUUGUAUACUAUAUAAUUUUGAGUUUUUAAAGCACGUGUUUAAAAAACUUCCUAAUAGCAAGUAUAUUCAUUACAACCAUUUUUAAAAUAAAAGUAUUUAUACGCACCAUGUUCAGGACUGCAAUUAGUAGAAGGAUGCACAGUAUCUUCUUGCUUAGGAUCCAUAACACUUACUGACUUGACCUAGGGGAAUAAACAGUAAUCAGUAAUUCAUGUCUGAUGGGAUUGGAAAUAGUGAAGCUAGCCAAUAUAAAAUUAAAAUAGUUGGGAAAAAAAAAAGGUCUUGUUGAGUAUUCUUCUCAUAAAACAAAGUUAAUUUACUAUAGUGACUGUAUCCAUAUACAAUAUUGAUACACACAAACUGAAUUUCAUAUUUGUCAUCUGAGCUAAUGUAGCAGUUUUUAAAGUGAAAGACAACACUGUACAGUUUUUUUAAAAAGUGCAUUCACUAAAUUGGCUGAAAAGUGUCAAAAUAAAAUCCCUAAAGAAAGGAUAUUGAUGCUGAGUCAUUUGAUGUUCUGUAGUGUUUUACUGCAGUUCAGCACAGACAAGCACUCAGCCCAGUGAUACUCAGUGUUUCAGCUAUGGAUUCGGGAGCUUACACAAAAAUCAAUGCUAGUAAAAUGCACAAACAAGAGUAAUGAAGCUGUGUAAAAUCAGAACGGUAACUCAACAUUACUUCAGUAACCACAUGGACAGAGCUCCUUCAAGCAAAAUGCACACAAAUACAAGCAAAUGUAUAGCAUUAUAGUUCUCUCUCUGUAGAGUGUCAAUUCAGCAAGCAACAAAAGAAAGACUCAUAGGAACAAUGAGCUAUCAAAUGACCAAGAGGUUUCACAGUAUUUUGGCAAAAGCUUAAUACUUAUCUUGUUUAAAGAAAAGAGAGCUUUAAUAUUUAAUCUAGAGACUAUGAAGAAGCUGUACAAAGAAGCAUAUAUACUUUACUUAUGAAAAGGAAGGCAUAGUAAGAAUUUGACUAUACUACAUAAGUAAUGUAAGAGUGCUAUAAAAAGGAAAAAAAAAAUUGUUCCUUCAUAUUUGUACUAAGCUACAUCUUGUCAAAGGGGGACACUGACUUGCAAAAAGCUUCCAAGGAAAACACAGGUUGCAAUCUUUACUCUUCCCAAAUUACCAUGGUGUUUUUCAUCUAGAGGUCACAUGCAUGAGCUAUUUUAAUCAAAAUAUGAUGCAAUAAAACAUGAGGUAGUAUUAAUGGCCCAGGGGUUCGUUUCAGCCACAGACUUCAAGUCUAAAUAAAUUCCUAAACAAACAAACAAAUAAAUAAAUAAGCAAGCUUUACCUUUGUUUUCUCUGGUGUAUCAAAUAUUUCCUUCACUCCAAUGUAGUCCACUUCAAACUCAGUAUUCUUCUGUCUGGGUUCUGCCAUCAGCCUACUCAGACCCACAAAAUCAUCAACUGGGUGAGAUUUCUCUCUGGGAGUCUUCAUUAAUCUACUAAUACCAAAUACAUCUUCUAUGGGUUUAACUUUUUCCUUUGGUGUCUUGAAAAUACGGCUGAUUCCGAUCAUGUCUUCUACCGGUUGGGAUUUCAAUUUUGGAGUUUUCUUAAUUAAAUUAACUCUUGUCACAUCUUUUAAUAGUUCUUUUUUUUGUAUUGGAGUCUCCAGCAAUUUUUCAGAGGCGUUUUCAUCUGUAAUAGGUUUUGACUUUUGCUGUGGGCCUAAUAGGACCUCUGCUGGCUUCAGCUUUUCUUCUGGGGUCUUCAUGAGCUGCUUGAUGCCUGACAGGGCCUCUGCUGGUUCCGACUUCUGCUUCGGUGUCCUCAAAAGCUGCUUGAUGCCUGAUAGAACCUCUGCUGGUUCUGACUUUUGCUUUGGGGUUCUCAAAAGUUUCUUGAUGUCUGACAGGACAUCUGCUGGUUCUGACUUCUGCUUUGGGGUCUUCAAAAGCUGUUUGAUGCCUGACAAGGCCUCCACUGGCUCUAACUUCUGCUUUGGUGUCUUCAUGAGCUGCUUGAUGCCCGACAGUACCUCUGCUGGCUCCAACUUCUGCUUUGGGGUCCUCAAGAGCUGCUUGAUGGCUGACAGGACCUCCGUUGGUUCUGACUUCUGUUUUGGUGUCUUCAUGAGCUGCUUAAUGCCUGACAAAGACUCUACAGGCUCCAACUUCUGCUUCGGGGUCCUCAUGAGCUGCUUGACACCUGACAAGGACUCUACAGGCUCUAACUUCUGCUUCGGGGUCCUCAUGAGCUGCUUGACACCUGACAAAGACUCUACAGGCUCUAACUUCUGUUUUGGGGUCUUCAGAGGCUGCUUGAUGCUUGAUACAACUUCAACUGACUCCAACUUCUGACUUGGAGUUUUCCUUUUAUUUGGUGACCUCAUGAGUUUUGGUGGAUACUGCAUCAAACACAGACUUUAGAGACUCUCUCUCUCUCAGAAAGUAAGAGAUGUCUUGAAUAUCCUGUUUCUGUUCUGAAACAUCUGAAGCAUUUAAUGGCGACACCACCAUCUCUCCUGAAACAAAAGAUGCUCAUCUUUACUAAAUUCUUAAGAAAACAGAAUUGAACAGAACUGUGAUGAAUUCUAAGCUGUACAAGGACACAAUGACUGGUAUGCAAUUAAAAAAAAUACACCUACUUCCUGUUGUAAGAUGUUGCCAUUGGACAAAGUCCACAAAUAACCAACUAAAGAACUGCUACGCUUCAACAAAAGAUUUGCCUGAAGCUACACUUUAUCAUAUGGAAA